UUCCGGUUGAUCCUGCCGGAGGCCAUUGCUAUUGGGAUCCGAUUUAGCCAUGCUAGUCGCACGAGUUCAGACUCGUGGCGAAUAGCUCAGUAACACGUGGCCAAACUACCCUUCGGAACACAAUACCCUCGGGAAACUGAGGUUAAUAGUGUAUACCAUACCACCACUGGAAUGAGUGGUAUGCCAAACGCUCCGGCGCCGAAGGAUGUGGCUGCGGCCGAUUAGGUAGACGGUGGGGUAACGGCCCACCGUGCCAAUAAUCGGUAUGGGUCAUGAGAGUGAGAACCCAGAGACGGAAUCUGAGACAAGAUUCCGGGCCCUACGGGGCGCAGCAGGCGCGAAACCUUUACACUGCACGACAGUGCGAUAGGGGGAUCCCAAGUGCACAGGCAUAGCGCCUGUGCUUUUCGGUACCCUAAGGCGGUACCAGAAUAAGGGCUGGGCAAGACCGGUGCCAGCCGCCGCGGUAAUACCGGCAGCCCAAGUGAUGGCCGAUCUUAUUGGGCCUAAAGCGUCCGUAGCUGGCCGCGCAAGUCCAUCGGGAAAUCCACCUGCUCAACAGGUGGGCGCCCGGUAGAAACUGCGUGGCUUGGGACCGGAAGGCGCGACGGGUACGUCCGGGGUAGGAGUGAAAUCCCGUAAUCCUGGACGGACCGCCGAUGGCGAAAGCACGUCGCGAGAACGGAUCCGACAGUGUGGGACGAAAGCCAGGGUCUCGAACCGGAUUAGAUACCCGGGUAGUC
rnacentral:rRNA from 1 species